rnacentral:rRNA from 1 species
AUGCAAACCGGAGAAUCCUCCACACAUCUUCUUUGCCACUGUCGUUUUUCUGUAAGGGUGUGGUGCGACAUUGUCCAAUGGCUUGGGCUCCAAGACGUCAUCCCUACGGAGUGGAGCACUGCUACUUCGGUGAAAGACUGGUGGCUCCGGAUCGCCCAAUCGAGGGCCCCUUCGCGGUCAGCGAUGACCUCCCUUUUGAUGCUCGUCUCUUGGGAGAUUUGGAAAGAGCGCAAUGCGAGAGUCUUCCGCAACUCGGCGACCCCCACCGCGGUGCUAGUGCGAAACAUUAAGGAGGAAGUUAGAUUAUGGGUGAUGGCGGGAGCGAAAAACUUGGGCGCUGUAAUGCCGCGAGAGUGA